rnacentral:rRNA from 2 species
CCUGAUGCAGCAACGCCGCGUGAGGGAUGACGGCCUUCGGGUUGUAAACCUCUUUUAGCAGGGAAGAAGCGAAAGUGACGGUACCUGCAGAAAAAGCGCCGGCUAACUACGUGCCAGCAGCCGCGGUAAUACGUAGGGCGCAAGCGUUAUCCGGAAUUAUUGGGCGUAAAGAGCUCGUAGGCGGUUUGUCGCGUCUGCUGUGAAAUCCCGAGGCUCAACUUCGGGUCUGCAGUGGGUACGGGCAGACUAGAGUGCGGUAGGGGAGAUUGGAAUUCCUGGUGUAGCGGUGGAAUGCGCAGAUAUCAGGAGGAACACCGAUGGCGAAGGCAGAUCUCUGGGCCGUAACUGACGCUGAGGAGCGAAAGGGUGGGGAGCAAACAGGCUUAGAUACCCUGGUAGUCCACCCCGUAAACGUUGGGAACUAGUUGUGGGGUCCAUUCCACGGAUUCCGUGACGCAGCUAACGCAUUAAGUUCCCCGCCUGGGGAGUACGGCCGCAAGGCUAAAACUCAAAGGAAUUGACGGGGACCCGCACAAGCGGCGGAGCAUGCGGAUUAAUUCGAUGCAACGCGAAGAACCUUACCAAGGCUUGACAUAUACGAGAACGCUGCAGAAAUGUAGAACUCUUUGGACACUC